UGUUACGGUGACUACAUUUUGUAAGUUACAAAUAUAGUUCGCCAAGACAGCAUAACGAUUUCUAAACAACUGCGCAUUAAUACCACAAUGUUGUAUUUUCACGUGUCAAGUUCGCAACGCGCAUUAAUCCCAAAGGCUGAAAAGCCAGCAGCGAUGAGUGCUCCGCCUCCGCGCUGACUAGCGUUGACGCAGAAAAUGACUCUCAGGGGGUUUUUGACGGAGGAGCUCCUUAAAAAGUUGAUGGAAGAAGGCAUUGAUGUGUCAGACGACGAGGCGCAAAGGUUUAGAGGAUUCGAGCUUUGUGGGGGAAGAUGCAGCCUCCGUUGAUGCUCAUAUCAAGGUGCUAAAUGAUCAGCACAAGAAGCUACAUCCUGACACAGCACUGGUGAAAGACCGCAUCACAAAAACCUUUGCAUGGAGACAUCGAGAGGUAGCUGAAGGAAUGUGUACUGUGGACCUAUUAAAGAGAGAUCCAUUCCUGGGGACAUCUGCAGGGUUGUGUGAUGAGGUUGAUUUAAUGCAUCACUGCCAAGACAACAUCUGUCGCCGCUUUAGCGAAAACUUCACUGCUGUUCUUCAAAAUGUUCUUCAAAUGACCAAGGAUUUGCCACUGCAGAAGGUCUACAUGGAAGCAAGAGAGAAUGCACUGGCUGAAGAAAUUACAGGAAUUGACUUCAAGGGGGCACUUCUCCUCUUGCCAUCCAUCUUCAAGGAGAAGAUAGAAGAUUUCAUCAUCCUUGGAGAGAAUACUCCGAGUCCAUACCCAACCAUUCGAAUGAAGGAUAAGAGUUGGACAACUGCCCUCUCAAGACAAUGUUGCUGUGUUGUGACAGUUGAAGGAGUGGAUGUUUGCUCGUGCCGCUCGCUGGAUGAGGCCUACAUCUCAGCAUUCUCCACCUUCUUCGUGUUCAACAUGACCUACCCUGCAUACUUCAAGAAAACACUUGUCUUUCUUCAGAACUGCAUUGUCAACAUAGGAGACAAGGGAGGAGACAAACCCCUGCCAGUAAGUGUCACCAGGGUACUUGACCAACUCUAUUAAAUAUGCCCCCACUCCACAUAUGUUCAAAAUGUUCAAAAAGGGCAUUUACUCUGCUUACCAAGUGGCAGUUGACAAUGACUGGAUCCUGUUCAAUCCAGGAAAUGAAUUAGACUUUCAAGCUCUAGACACCAAUUUAGUUGAUGAUAGGCUGUUUGUUGCCUUGAGGUAUUCUGUGUGACGUGAUUGCAAGCACAUUUUCCACUUUGUCUAUAUAUAUGACAUAUAUAUAUAUAUUCUGGCUUGUUGAAGUAGAGCAAAACAUUUGUGUGGACAGUUUUUUUUUUUUUUUUUUUUAAAUACAUGCCAUCUCUGUGAUCCGUCAAAACAUUGUGUUCAGGUGUUUAAUGUCUUUGUGAUUGUUUACUUUUUUAAAUGAAUGUAUUUUUCUUGACAUGUCCUAUGGCAAUAUACAAAUGUAAUCAAG
ensembl:lncRNA